UUGAACGCUGGCGGCAGGCCUCACCCAUGCCAGUCGAGCGGAUGAAGGGAGCUUGCUCCUGGAUUCAGCGGCGGACGGGUGAGUAAUGCCUAGGAAUCUGCCUGGUAGUGGGGGAUAACGUCCGGAAACGGGCGCUAAUACCGCAUACGUCCUGAGGGAGAAAGUGGGGGAUCUUCGGACCUCACGCUAUCAGAUGAGCCUAGGUCGGAUUAGCUAGUUGGUGGGGUAAAGGCCUACCAAGGCGACGAUCCGUACCUGGUCUGAGAGGAUGAUCAGUCACACUGGAACUGAGACACGGUCCAGACUCCUACGGGAGGCAGCAGUGGGGAAUAUUGGACAAUGGGCGAAAGCCUGAUCCAGCCAUGCCGCGUGUGUGAAGAAGGUCUUCGGAUUGUAAAGCACUUUAAGUUGGGAAGAAGAGCAGUAAGUUAAUACCUUGCUGUUUUGACGUUACCAACAGAAUAAGCACCGGCUAACUUCGUG
rnacentral:rRNA from 1 species